UACUAGAUGCUCUCUGACAUCAGCAAC
rnacentral:piRNA from 1 species